GACGAACGCUGGCGGCGUGCUUAACACAUGCAAGUCGAACGGAAAGGCCCUGCUCUUGUGGGGUGCUCGAGUGGCGAACGGGUGAGUAACACGUGAGUAACCUGCCCUUGACUUUGGGAUAACUUCAGGAAACUGGGGCUAAUACCGGAUAGGAGCUCCUGCUGCAUGGUGGGGGUUGGAAAGUUUCGGCGGUUGGGGAUGGACUCGCGGCUUAUCAGCUUGUUGGUGGGGUAGUGGCUUACCAAGGCUUUGACGGGUAGCCGGCCUGAGAGGGUGACCAGCCACAUUGGGACUGAGAUACGGCCCAGACUCCUACGGGAGGCAGCAGUGGGGAAUAUUGCACAAUGGGCGGAAGCCUGAUGCAGCAACGCCGCGUGCGGGAUGACGGCCUUCGGGUUGUAAACCGCUUUCGCCUGUGACGAAGCGUGAGUGACGGUAAUGGGUAAAGAAGCACCGGCUAACUACGUG
rnacentral:rRNA from 1 species